rnacentral:lncRNA from 1 species
CCCCCAUCUCUAUCACCUUCCACUCCAGCGGCGCAACCUCCCCUUCACCCCGACACCGGCGCCGGCGCCUCCCUCUCCUCAGCCAUCGACCUCCUUGCCGCGCCUUCUGCGGCGGCUGGGGAAUGCGGACCUCCGGCGCCGGCCCGCCUCGUUCCAGCCAUGCUAGCCCGACGCAAACCCCGCAUCGACGAGGCCAUGGAGCCGUACGAGUACGAGAAGGUAUGCAAGAACUUCGGUCUCGGUCGCCUGCCGUUCGAUGCGAACUUCUCUAUUUUCAUAGCUCUACAUACUGUUGGGUGGAAGCCUGGAAGGGAGAAAUUUGGGCAAGAAUUGGUGUUCAAAGCCUGGCAGACAUUAGUCCGGUCACAGUGCAAGCCACUCAAAAGAGUUUCUCUAGCGGCUGGGCAACUCAGAGAUUGGCCUAAGCAACCUCAUCCCACAGUGCAGUGA